AUUGAACGCUGGCGGCAUGCUUUACACAUGCAAGUCGAACGGCAGCGCGGGCUUCGGCCUGGCGGCGAGUGGCGAACGGGUGAGUAAUGCAUCGGAACGUGCCCAGUAGUGGGGGAUAGCCCGGCGAAAGCCGGAUUAAUACCGCAUACGACCUGAGGGUGAAAGCGGGGGACCGAAAGGCCACGCGCUAUUUGCGCGGCCGAGGUGAGAUUGGCUGGCUGGUGGGGCAAAGGCUUACCAAGGCGACUAUCCGUAGCUGGUCUGCGAGGACGACCAGGCACACUGGGACUGGGGCACGGCCCAGGCUCCUACGGGAGGGAGCAGUGGGGAAUUUUGGACAAUGGGGGCAACCCUGAUCCAGCCAUGCCGCGUGCGGGAAGAAGGCCUUCGGGUUGGAAACCGCUUUUGUUCGGGAAGAAAUCCUCUGGGCUAAUACCCCGGGGGGAUGACGGUACCGGAAGAAUAAGCACCGGCUAACUACGUG
rnacentral:rRNA from 1 species